rnacentral:rRNA from 1 species
UCUGAACGCUGGCGGCGUGGCUAAGACAUGCAAGUCGUACGGGCGUAGCAAUACGUCAGUGGCGGACGGGUGAGUAAUAUAUAGCUAACGUACCCCGGAUUCUGGGAUAGCUGUCCGAAAGGACAGGUAAUACCAGAUGAUAUAACCGUGUCGCAUGGCAUGGUUCUCAAAGGGAAACCGUUCUGGGAUCGGGCUAUAUC